ACGGGCACCUUCGGGUGUCAGUGGCAGACGGGUGAGUAACACGUGGGAACGUACCCUUCGGUUCGGAAUAACUCAGGGAAACUUGAGCUAAUACCGGAUACGCCCUUAUGGGGAAAGGUUUACUGCCGAAGGAUCGGCCCGCGUCUGAUUAGCUUGUUGGUGGGGUAACGGCCUACCAAGGCGACGAUCAGUAGCUGGUCUGAGAGGAUGAUCAGCCACACUGGGACUGAGACACGGCCCAG
rnacentral:rRNA from 1 species